rnacentral:rRNA from 1 species
AACGAACGCUGGCGGCAGGCUUAACACAUGCAAGUCGAACGCACCUUUCGGGGUGAGUGGCAGACGGGUGAGUAACGCGUGGGAAUCUACCCUUCUCUACGGGAUAGCUCCGGGAAACUGGAAUUAAUACCGGAUACGUCCUGAGGGAGAAAGAUUUAUCGGGGAAGGAUGAGCCCGCGUUGGAUUAGCUAGUUGGUGGGGUAAAGGCCUACCAAGGCGACGAUCCAUAGCUGGUCUAAGAGGAUGAUCAGCCACAUUGGGACUGAGACACGGCCCAAACUCCUACGGGAGGCAGCAGUGGGGAAUAUUGGACAAUGGGCGCAAGCCUGAUCCAGCCAUGCCGCGUGAGUGAUGAAGGCCCUAGGGUUGUAAAGCUCUUUCAGUGGGGACGAUAAUGACGGUACCCACAGAAGAAGCCCCGGCUAACUUCGUG